UGUUAGCCAGGAUGGUCUCGAUCUCCUGACCUCGUGACCCACCCGCCUCAGCCUCCCAAAAUGCUGGGAUUACAGGCAUGAGCCACUGCACCCGGUCUUUUCAUCUUUAUUUAUGCAUGCAUAAUGUGGUUUUUGGUUUUGUUUUGUUUUUUUCUGAGACAGGGUCUGGCUUUGUUGCCCGGGCUGGAGUGCAAUUGCGUGGUCUCAGCUCACUGAAACCUCUGCCUCCCAGGCUCAAACCAUCCUCCCACCUCAGCCUCUCAAGUAGCUGGGACUACAGGCAUGUGUCACCACACCUGCCUAAUUUUUUUGUAUUUUUAGUAGAGACGAGUUUUGCAUGUUGCCCAUGCUGAUCUCGAACUUCGGAGCGUGAAGCGAUGGCCCACCUCAGCCUCCCUCAGGAUUACAGGUGUGAGCCACCGCACUCCGCCCAUGAUGGGCUUUUUGUUUGUUUUACUGUAUGCUUUUGCUUUUCUCCAUUUUCAAGAUUAGUGAUUGUACUGUUGGCAUGCCUCUAAAAAUGUUUUUCUUUCCUUUAUCUUCCCUCUUUUCUUCAAUUCUUAAAACUUUCUUUCUUUUUAGAAAACCUGUAAUGAAGCACUAUUCUCUGGGUUUUCUUCUCUUUCUGUUUUACUAUUGCAAAGCCUAGAUUUUAUAUGAAAGGUUGGGCCAGGCAUGGUAGCUCACGCCUGUAAACCCAGCACUUUGGCAGGCUGAGGCAGGCAGAUCACUUGAGGUCAGGAGUUCGAGACCAGCCUGGCUAACGUGGUGAAACUCCAUCUCUACUAAAAAUAUGAACAUUAGCUGGGCAUGAUGGCACACACCUGUAAUCCCAGCUACUCAGGAGGCUGAGGUGGGAGAAUCACUUGAACCCGGGAGGUGGAGGUUGCAGUGAGCCGAGAUGGUGCCACUGCACUUCAAUCUGGGCGACAGAGUGAGUGAGACUCCGUCUCAAAAAAAAAAAAGAAUUUAGAUUUUAAAGAUUAUUUUUCAGAGUCUGGUGAUAGAUACUUUAACCAGGGUUAGUGGCUUUUAUAUGUUUUAUCUAAAGAAUCACUUUUCUCUGCUGCACAUAACAGAAUGUGGUUUUUGGCUUGCUGUAAGGAGACUAGUUUAAAUGCUAGUAUAGAAAACUUUUAAAACCAUCCUAGAUUUGGAGCUUGUCUGUGAGCAGACAGCCUAUCAUGAAUAGGAGCAAACCUCUAGGAGAGUUAUUUUAGAGUGGAAGCGGAUAUCCUGAUUUAGUCGAAUUAAAAUAGCAGCCUUGGUAUUAAUGGGAAAUCUGCAAUAAUCAGGGUUUCAGUCCCAUCAGCAUAGUCAGGAGUCUGGUGAGAUUAUUUGCCAGGGUGGUGUAGGUCUAGUUUUCUUUGUACCCUUGUUUGGGACUAUAUGGCCUGUUAUAAGGUCCUCACUAACUUGUGGGCUCUGAUUCUUCCUAUUUGAGUUCUUCCUGUCCAAGAUCCGGUCCCACGUGGCUACUUGUUCCAAAUACCAGAAUUACAUCAUGGAAGGUGUGAAGGCCACCAUUAAGGAUGCAUCUCUUCAGCCAAGGAAUGUUCCAAACCGUUAUACCUUUCCUUGUCCUUACUGUCCUGAGAAGAACUUUGAUCAGGAAGGACUUGUGGAACACUGCAAAUUAUUCCAUAGCACGGAUACCAAAUCUGUGGUUUGUCCUAUAUGUGCCUCGAUGCCCUGGGGAGACCCCAACUACCGCAGUGCCAACUUCAGAGAGCACAUCCAGCGCCGGCACCGGUUUUCUUACGAUACUUUUGUGGAUUAUGAUGUUGAUGAAGAGGACAUGAUGAAUCAGGUGUUGCAGCGCUCCAUCAUCGACCAGUGAGCAGAGUCUGUGCUUGCUGUCUGUCUCAUGUUCCAGAGCUUCCAUUACAUAUUAAACGUGAAACCUAUGACUCCUGUACCUUACCUGUUCAACAGACCUGAAAAUGAGCCAUGGCAUUGGGACAGGGUCACUUCUGACAGGGGAAGUGGGUCCCCAGGU
rnacentral:sRNA from 1 species